rnacentral:lncRNA from 1 species
GGGAGUGUUUUGGGGCAUUCGGUUCCGGCACGAAAAAUGAUGCAAAACGGGUGCAUUUCGACACCCGAAUGCACUAUUUCCGGAUAGCGAAACUCAGGUGGAUUUUUUCGCAACGAACGCAUCCAAUCUUCCUAAAUAUACCCUAGAACAUGUUUGGGAGUGUUUUUGAGCAUUCGGUUCCGGCACGAAAAACGAUGCAAAACGGGUGCAUUUCGGCACCCGAAUGCACUAUUGCUGGGUAGCGAAAGUCGGGUGGAUUUUUUCGCAACGAACGCAUGCAAUCUUCCUAAAUAUGCACUAGAACAUGUUUGGGAGUAUUUUUGGGCAUUCGGUUCCGGCACGAAAAACGAUGCAAAACGGGUGCAUUUCGGCACCCGAAUGCACUAUUGCCGGGUAGCGAAACUCGGGUGGAUUUUUUCGCAACGAACGCAUGCAAUCUUCCUAAAUAUGCACUAGAACAUGUUUGGGAGUGUUUUUGGGCAUUCGGUUCCGGCACGAAAAACGAUGCAAAACGGGUGCAUUUCGGCACCCGAAUGCACUAUUGCCGGGUAGCGAAACUCGGGUGGAUUUUUUCGCAACAAACGCAUGCAAUCUUCCUAAAUAUGCACUAGAACAUGUUUGGGAGUGUUUUUGGGCAUUCGGUUCCAGCACGAAAAACGAUGCAAAACGGGUGCAUUUCGGCACCCGAAUGCAUUAUUGCCGAGUAGCGAAACUCGGGUGGAUUUUUUCGCAACGAACGCAUGCAAUCUUCCUAAAUAUGCACUAGAACAUGUUUGGGAGUGUUUUUGGGCAUUCGGUUCCGGCACGAAAAACGAUGCAAAACGGGUGCAUUUCGGCACCCGAAUGCACUAUUGCCGGGUAGCGAAACUCGGGUGGAUUUUUUCGCAACGAACGCAUGCAAUCUUCCUAAAUAUGCACUAGAACAUGUUUGGGAGUGUUUUUGGGCAUUCGGUUCCGGCACGAAAAAUGAUGCAAAACGGGUGAAUUUCGGCACCCGAAUACACUAUUGCUGGGUAGCGAAAGUCGGGUGGAUUUUUUUCGCAACGAACGCAUGCAAUCUUCCUAAAUAUGCACUAGAACAUGUUUGGGAGUGUUUUUGGGCAUUCGGUUCCGGCACGAAAAACGAUGCAAAACGGGUGCAUUUCGGCACCCGAAUGCACUAUUGCCGGGUAGCGAAACUCGGGUGGAUUUUUUCGCAACGAACGCAUGCAAUCUUCCUAAAUAUGCACUAGAACAUGUUUGGGAGUGUUUUUGGGCAUUCGGUUCCGGCACGAAAAACGAUGCAAAACGGGUGCAUUUCGGCACCCGAAUGCACUAUUGCCGGGUAGCGAAACUCGGGUGGAUUUUUUCGCAACGAACGCAUGCAAUCUUCCUAAAUAUGCACUAGAACAUGUUUGGGAGUGUUUUUGGGCAUUCGGUUCCGGCACGAAAAAUGAUGCAAAACGGGUGCAUUUCGGCACCCGAAUGCACUAUUAUCGGGUAGAGAAAGUCGGGUGGAUUUUUUCGCAACGAACGCAUGCAAUCUUCCUAAAUAUGCACUAGAACAUGUUUGGGAGUGUUUUUGGGCAUUCGGUUCCGGCACGAAAAACGAUGCAAAACGGGUGCAUUUCGGCACCCGAAUGCACUAUUGCCGGGUAGCGAAACUCGGGUGGAUUUUUUCGCAACGAACGCAUGCAAUCUUCCUAAAUAUGCACUAGAACAUGUUUGGGAGUCUUUUUGGGCAUUCGGUUCCGGCACGAAAAAUGAUGCAAAACGGGUGAAUUUCGGCACCCGAAUACACUAUUGCUGGGUAGCGAAAGUCGGGUGGAUUUUUUUCGCAACGAACGCAUGCAAUCUUCCUAAAUAUGCACUAGAACAUGUUUGGGAGUGUUUUUGGGCAUUCGGUUCCGGCACGAAAAACGAUGCAAAACGGGUGCAUUUCGGCACCCGAAUGCACUAUUGCCGGGUAGCGAAACUCGGGUGGAUUUUUUCGCAACGAACGCAUGCAAUCUUCCUAAAUAUGCACUAGAACAUGUUUGGGAGUGUUUUUGGGCAUUCGGUUCCGGCACGGAAAACGAUGCAAAACGGGUGCAUUUCGGCACCCGAAUGCACUAUUGCCGGGUAGCGAAACUCGGGUGGAUUUUUUCGCAACGAACGCAUGCAAUCUUCCUAAAUAUGCACUAGAACAUGUUUGGGAGUGUUUUUGGGCAUUCGGUUCCGGCACGAAAAAUGAUGCAAAACGGGUGCAUUUCGGCACCCGAAUGCACUAUUAUCGGGUAGAGAAAGUCGGGUGGAUUUUUUCGCAACGAACGCAUGCAAUCUUCCUAAAUAUGCACUAGAACAUGUUUGGGAGUGUUUUUGGGCAUUCGGUUCCGGCACGAAAAAUGAUGCAAAACGGGUGCAUUUCGGCACCCGAAUGCACUAUUGCUGGGUAGCGAAAGUCGGGUGGAUUUUUUCGCAACGAACGCAUGCAAUCUUCCUAAAUAUGCACUAGAACAUGUUUGGGAGUGUUUUUGGGCAUUCGGUUCCGGCACGAAAGCAUUAUUUCCAGGUAGCGAAACUCGGGUGGAUUUUUUCGCAACGAACGCAUCCAAUCUACCUAAUGAGACCCUAGGACAUGUUUGGGAGUGUUUUGGGGCAUUCGGUUCCGGCACGAAAAAUGAUGCAAAACGGGUGCAUUUCGGCACCCGAAUGCACUAUUUCCGGAUAGCGAAACUCAGGUGGAUUUUUUCGCAACGAACGCAUCCAAUCUUGCUAAAUAUAACCUAGAACAUGUUUGGGAGUGUUUUUGAGCAUUCGGUUCCGGCACGAAAAACGAUGCAAAACGGGUGCAUUUCGGCACCCGAAUGCACUAUUGCCGGGUAGCGAAACUCGGGUGGAUUUUUUCGCAACGAACGCAUGCAAUCUUCCUAAAUAUGCACUAGAACAUGUUUGGGAGUGUUUUUGGGCAUUCGGUUCCGGCACGGAAAACGAUGCAAAACGGGUGCAUUUCGGCACCCGAAUGCAGUAUUGCCGAGUAGCGAAACUCGGGUGGAUUUUUUCGCAACGAACGCAUGCAAUCUUCCUAAAUAUGCACUAGAACAUGUUUGGGAGUGUUUUUGGGCAUUCGGUUCCGGCACGAAAAACGAUGCAAAACGGGUGCAUUUCGGCACCCGAAUGCACUAUUGCCGGGUAGCGAAACUCGGGUGGAUUUUUUCGCAACGAACGCAUGCAAUCUUCCUAAAUAUGCACUAGAACAUGUUUGGGAGUGUUUUUGGGCAUUCGGUUCCGGCACGAAAAAUGAUGCAAAACGGGUGCAUUUCGGCACCCGAAUGCACUAUUAUCGGGUAGAGAAAGUCGGGUGGAUUUUUUCGCAACGAACGCAUGCAAUCUUCCUAAAUAUGCACUAGAACAUGUUUGGGAGUGUUUUUGGGCAUUCGGUUCCGGCACGAAAAAUAAUGCAAAACGGGUGCAUUUCGGCACCCGAAUGCACUAUUGCUGGGUAGCGAAAGUCGGGUGGAUUUUUUCGCAACGAACGCAUGCAAUCUUCCUAAAUAUGCACUAGAACAUGUUUGGGAGUGUUUUUGGGCAUUCGGUUCCGGCACGAAAAACGAUGCAAAACGGGUGCAUUUCGGCACCCGAAUGCACUAUUGCCGGGUAGCGAAACUAGGGUGGAUUUUUUCGCAACAAACGCAUGCAAUCUUCCUAAUUAGACCCUAGAACAUGUUUGGGAGUGUUUUUGGGCAUUCGGUUCCGGCACGAAAAACGAUGCAAAACGGGUGCAUUUCGGCACCCGAAUGCACUAUUGCCGGGUAGGGAAACUCGGGUGGAUUUUUUCACAACAAACGCAUGCAAUCUUCCUAAUUAGACCCUAGAACAUGUUUGGGAUUGUUUUUGGGCAUUCGGUUCCGGCACGAAAAAUGAUGCAAAAUGGGUGCAUUUCGGGACCCGAAUGCACUAUUGCCGGGUAGCGAAACUCGGGUGGAUUUUUUCGCAACGAACGCAUGCAAUCUUCCUAAAUAUGCACUAGAACAUGUUUGGGAGUGUUUUUGGGCAUUCGGUUCCGGCACGAAAAACGAUGCAAAACGGGUGCAUUUCGGCACCCGAAUGCACUAUUGUCGGGUAGAGAAAGUCGGGUGGAUUUUUUCGCAACGAACUCAUGCAAUCUUCGUAAAUAUGCACUAGAACAUGUUUGGGAGUGUUGUUGGGCAUUCGGUUCCGGCACGAAAAACGAUGCAAAACGGGUGCAUUUCGGCACCCGAAUGCACUAUUGCCGGGUAGCGAAAGUCGGGUGGAUUUUUUCGCAACGAACGCAUGCAAUCUUCCUAAAUAUGCACUAGAACAUGUUUGGGAGUGUUUUUGGGCAUUCGGUUCCGGCACGAAAAACGAUGCAAAACGGAUGCAUUUCGGCACCCGAAUGCACUAUUGCCGGGUAGCGAAACUAGGGUGGAUUUUUUCGCAACAAACGCAUGCAAUCUUCCUAAUUAGACCCUAGAACAUGUUUGGGAGUGUUUUUGGGCAUUCGGUUCCGGCACGAAAAACGAUGCAAAACGGGUGCAUUUCGGCACCCGAAUGCACUAUUGCCGGGUAGGGAAACUCGGGUGGAUUUUUUCACAACAAACGCAUGCAAUCUUCCUAAUUAGACCCUAGAACAUGUUUGGGAUUGUUUUUGGGCAUUCGGUUCCGGCACGAAAAAUGAUGCAAAAUGGGUGCAUUUCGGGACCCGAAUGCACUAUUGCCGGGUAGCGAAACUCGGGUGGAUUUUUUCGCAACGAACGCAUGCAAUCUUCCUAAAUAUGCACUAGAACAUGUUUGGGAGUGUUUUUGGGCAUUCGGUUCCGGCACGAAAAACGAUGCAAAACGGGUGCAUUUCGGCACCCGAAUGCACUAUUGUCGGGUAGAGAAAGUCGGGUGGAUUUUUUCGCAACGAACUCAUGCAAUCUUCGUAAAUAUGCACUAGAACAUGUUUGGGAGUGUUGUUGGGCAUUCGGUUCCGGCACGAAAAACGAUGCAAAACGGGUGCAUUUCGGCACCCGAAUGCACUAUUGCCGGGUAGCGAAACUCGGGUGGAUUUUUUCGCAACGAACGCAUGCAAUCUUCCUAAAUAUGCACUAGAACAUGUUUGGGAGGGUUUUUGGGCAUUCGGUUCCGGCACGAAAAAUGAUGCAAAACGGGUGCAUUUCGGCACCCGGAUGCACUAUUAUCGGGUAGAGAAAGUCGGGUGGAUUUUUUCGCAACGAAUGCAUGCAAUCUUCCUAAAUAUGUACUAGAACAUGUUCGGGAGUGUUUUUGGGCAUUCGGUUCCGGCACGAAAAACGAUGCAAAACGGGUGCAUUUCGGCACCCGAAUGCACUAUUGCUGGGUAGCGAAAGUCGGGUGGAUUUUUUCGCAACGAACGCAUGCAAUCUUCCUAAAUAUGCAAUAGAACAUGUUUGGGAGUGUUUUUGGGCAUUCGGUUCCGGCACGAAAAACGAUGCAAAACGGGUGCAUUUCGGCACCCGAAUGCACUAUUGCCGGGUAGCGAAACUCGGGUGGAUUUUUUCGCAACGAACGCAUGCAAUCUUCCUAAUUAGACCCUAGAACAUGUUUGGGAGUGUUUUUGGGCAUUCGGUUCCGGCACGAAAAACUAUGCAAAACGGGUGCAUUUCGGCACCCGAAUGCACUAUUGUCGGGUAGGGAAACUCGGGUGGAUUUUUUCACAACAAACGCAUGCAAUCUUCCUAAUUAGACCCUAGAACAUGUUUGGGAGUGUUUUUGGGCAUUCGGUUCCGGCACGAAAAACGAUGCAAAACGGGUGCAUUUCGGCACCCGAAUGCGCUAUUGCCGGGUAGCGAAACUCGGGUGGAUUUUUUCGCAACGAACGCAUGCAAUCUUCCUAAAUAUGCACUAGAACAUGUUUGGGAGUGUUUUUGGGCAUUCGGUUCCGGCACGAAAAACGAUGCAAAACGGGUGCAUUUCGGCACCCGAAUGCACUAUUGCCGGGUAGCGAAACUCGGGUGGAUUUUUUCGCAACGAACGCAUGCAAUCUUCCUAAAUAUGCACUAGAACAUGUUUGGGAGUGUUUUUGGGCAUUCGGUUCCGGCACGAAAAAUGAUGCAAAACGGGUGAAUUUCGGCACCCGAAUACACUAUUGCGGGGUAGCGAAAGUCGGGUGGAUUUUUUUCGCAACGAACGCAUGCAAUCUUCCUAAAUACGCACUAGAACAUGUUUGGGAGUGUUUUUGGGCAUUCGGUUCCGGCACGGAAAACGAUGCAAAACGGGUGCAUUUCGGCACCCGAAUGCACUAUUGCCGGGUAGCGAAACUCGGGUGGAUUUUUUCGCAACGAACGCAUGCAAUCUUCCUAAAUAUGCACUAGAACAUGUUUGGGAGGGUUUUUGGGCAUUCGGUUCCGGCACGAAAAAUGAUGCAAAACGGGUGCAUUUCGGCACCCGGAUGCACUAUUAUCGGGUAGAGAAAGUCGGGUGGAUUUUUUUCGCAACGAAUGCAUGCAAUCUUCCUAAAUAUGUACUAGAACAUGUUCGGGAGUGUUUUUGGGCAUUCGGUUCCGGCACGAAAAACGAUGCAAAACGGGUGCAUUUCGGCACCCGAAUGCACUAUUGCUGGGUAGCGAAAGUCGGGUGGAUUUUUUCGCAACGAACGCAUGCAAUCUUCCUAAAUAUGCAAUAGAACAUGUUUGGGAGUGUUUUUGGGCAUUCGGUUCCGGCACGAAAAACGAUGCAAAACGGGUGCAUUUCGGCACCCGAAUGCACUAUUGCCGGGUAGCGAAACUCGGGUGGAUUUUUUCGCAACGAACGCAUGCAAUCUUCCUAAUUAGACCCUAGAACAUGUUUGGGAGUGUUUUUGGGCAUUCGGUUCCGGCACGAAAAACUAUGCAAAACGGGUGCAUUUCGGCACCCGAAUGCACUAUUGUCGGGUAGGGAAACUCGGGUGGAUUUUUUCACAACAAACGCAUGCAAUCUUCCUAAUUAGACCCUAGAACAUGUUUGGGAGUGUUUUUGGGCAUUCGGUUCCGGCACGAAAAACGAUGCAAAACGGGUGCAUUUCGGCACCCGAAUGCGCUAUUGCCGGGUAGCGAAACUCGGGUGGAUUUUUUCGCAACGAACGCAUGCAAUCUUCCUAAAUAUGCACUAGAACAUGUUUGGGAGUGUUUUUGGGCAUUCGGUUCCGGCACGAAAAACGAUGCAAAACGGGUGCAUUUCGGCACCCGAAUGCACUAUUGCCGGGUAGCGAAACUCGGGUGGAUUUUUUCGCAACGAACGCAUGCAAUCUUCCUAAAUAUGCACUAGAACAUGUUUGGGAGUGUUUUUGGGCAUUCGGUUCCGGCACGAAAAAUGAUGCAAAACGGGUGAAUUUCGGCACCCGAAUACACUAUUGCGGGGUAGCGAAAGUCGGGUGGAUUUUUUUCGCAACGAACGCAUGCAAUCUUCCUAAAUACGCACUAGAACAUGUUUGGGAGUGUUUUUGGGCAUUCGGUUCCGGCACGGAAAACGAUGCAAAACGGGUGCAUUUCGGCACCCGAAUGCACUAUUGCCGGGUAGCGAAACUCGGGUGGAUUUUUUCGCAACGAACGCAUGCAAUCUUCCUAAAUAUGCACUAGAACAUGUUUGGGAGGGUUUUUGGGCAUUCGGUUCCGGCACGAAAAAUGAUGCAAAACGGGUGCAUUUCGGCACCCGGAUGCACUAUUAUCGGGUAGAGAAAGUCGGGUGGAUUUUUUCGCAACGAAUGCAUGCAAUCUUCCUAAAUAUGUACUAGAACAUGUUCGGGAGUGUUUUUGGGCAUUCGGUUCCGGCACGAAAAACGAUGCAAAACGGGUGCAUUUCGGCACCCGAAUGCACUAUUGCUGGGUAGCGAAAGUCGGGUGGAUUUUUUCGCAACGAACGCAUGCAAUCUUCCUAAAUAUGCAAUAGAACAUGUUUGGGAGUGUUUUUGGGCAUUCGGUUCCGGCACGAAAAACGAUGCAAAACGGGUGCAUUUCGGCACCCGAAUGCACUAUUGCCGGGUAGCGAAACUCGGGUGGAUUUUUUCGCAACGAACGCAUGCAAUCUUCCUAAUUAGACCCUAGAACAUGUUUGGGAGUGUUUUUGGGCAUUCGGUUCCGGCACGAAAAACUAUGCAAAACGGGUGCAUUUCGGCACCCGAAUGCACUAUUGUCGGGUAGGGAAACUCGGGUGGAUUUUUUCACAACAAACGCAUGCAAUCUUCCUAAUUAGACCCUAGAACAUGUUUGGGAGUGUUUUUGGGCAUUCGGUUCCGGCACGAAAAACGAUGCAAAACGGGUGCAUUUCGGCACCCGAAUGCGCUAUUGCCGGGUAGCGAAACUCGGGUGGAUUUUUUCGCAACGAACGCAUGCAAUCUUCCUAAAUAUGCACUAGAACAUGUUUGGGAGUGUUUUUGGGCAUUCGGUUCCGGCACGAAAAACGAUGCAAAACGGGUGCAUUUCGGCACCCGAAUGCACUAUUGCCGGGUAGCGAAACUCGGGUGGAUUUUUUCGCAACGAACGCAUGCAAUCUUCCUAAAUAUGCACUAGAACAUGUUUGGGAGUGUUUUUGGGCAUUCGGUUCCGGCACGAAAAAUGAUGCAAAACGGGUGAAUUUCGGCACCCGAAUACACUAUUGCGGGGUAGCGAAAGUCGGGUGGAUUUUUUUCGCAACGAACGCAUGCAAUCUUCCUAAAUACGCACUAGAACAUGUUUGGGAGUGUUUUUGGGCAUUCGGUUCCGGCACGAAAAACGAUGCAAAACGGGUGCAUUUCGGCACCCGAAUGCACUAUUGCCGGGUAGCGAAACUCGGGUGGAUUUUUUCGCAACGAACGCAUGCAAUCUUCCUAAAUAUGCACUAGAACAUGUUUGGGAGUGUUUUUGGGCAUUCGGUUCCGGCACGAAAACGAUGCAAAACGGGUGCAUUUCGGCACCCGAAUGCACUAUUGCCGGGUAGCGAAACUCGGGUGGAUUUUUUCGCAACGAACGCAUGCAAUCUUCCUAAAUAUGCACUAGAACAUGUUUGGGAGUGUUUUUGGGCAUUCGGUUCCGGCACGAAAAAUGAUGCAAAACGGGUGCAUUUCGGCACCCGAAUGCACUAUUGCCGGGUAGCGAAACUCGGGUGGAUUUUUUCGCAACGAACGCAUGCAAUCUUCCUAAAUAUGCACUAGAACAUGUUUGGGAGUGUUUUUGGGCAUUCGGUUCCGGCACGAAAAAUGAUGCAAAACGGGUGCAUUUCGGCACCCGAAUGCACUAUUAUCGGGUAGAGAAAGUCGGGUGGAUUUUUUCGCAACGAACGCAUGCAAUCUUCCUAAAUAUGCACUAGAACAUGUUUGGGAGUGUUUUUGGGCAUUCGGUUCCGGCACGAAAAAUGAUGCAAAACGGGUGCAUUUCGGCACCCGAAUGCACUAUUGCCGGGUAGCGAAACUCGGGUGGAUUUUUUCGCAACGAACGCAUGCAAUCUUCCUAAAUAUGCACUAGAACAUGUUUGGGAGUGUUUUUGGGCAUUCGGUUCCGGCACGAAAAACGAUGCAAAACGGGUGCAUUUCGGCACCCGAAUGCACUAUUGUCGGGUAGAGAAAGUCGGGUGGAUUUUUUCGCAACGAACUCAUGCAAUCUUCGUAAAUAUGCACUAGAACAUGUUUGGGAGUGUUUUUGGGCAUUCGGUUCCGGCACGAAAAACGAUGCAAAACGGGUGCAUUUCGGCACCCGAAUGCACUAUUGCCGGGUAGGGAAACUCGGGUGGAUUUUUUCACAACAAACGCAUGCAAUCUUCCUAAAUACGCACUAGAACAUGUUUGGGAGUGUUUUUGGGCAUUCGGUUCCGGCACGAAAAAUGAUGCAAAAUGGGUGCAUUUCGGGACCCGAAUGCACUAUUGCCGGGUAGCGAAACUCGGGUGGAUUUUUUCGCAACGAACGCAUGCAAUCUUCCUAAAUAUGCACUAGAACAUGUUUGGGAGUGUUUUUGGGCAUUCGGUUCCGGCACGAAAAACGAUGCAAAACGGGUGC